rnacentral:misc_RNA from 1 species
GAUGAAGAACGCAGCGAAAUGCGAUAAGUAAUGUGAAUUGCAGAAUCCAGUGAAUCAUCGAAUCUUUGAACGCACAUUGCGCCCGCCAGCAUUCUGGCGGGCAUGGCUGUUCGAGCGUCAUUUCAACCCUCGACCUCCCUUUGGGGAAGUCGGCGUUGGGGACCGGCAGCACACCGCCGGCCCUGAAAUGGAGUGGCGGCCCGUCCGCGGCGACCUCUGCGUAGUAAACCAACUCGCACCGGAACCCCGACGUGGCCACGCCGUAAAACACCCAACUUCUGAACGUUGACCUCGAAUCAGGUAGGACUACCCGCUGAACUUAAGCAUAUCAAUAAGCGGAGGA